rnacentral:misc_RNA from 1 species
GAAAUGCGACAAGUAAUGUGAAUUGCAGAAUUCAGUGAAUCAUCGAAUCUUUGAACGCACAUUGCGCCCCCUGGUAUUCCGGGGGGCAUGCCUGUUCGAGCGUCAUUUCACCACUCCUGCCUCGCUUGGUAUUGGGCGACGCGGUCCGCCGCGCGCCUCAAAUCGACCGGCUGGGUCUUCUGUCCCCUCAGCGGUGUGGAAACUUUUCGCUAAAGGGUGCCACGGGAGGCCACGCCGAAAAACAAACCCAUUUCUAAGGUUGACCUCGGAUCAGGUAGGGAUACCCGCUGAACUUAA